UACGGAGGGUGCGAGCGUUAAUCGGAAUUACUGGGCGUAAAGCGCGCGUAAGCGGCUAAGUAAGCCGGUUGUGAAAGCCCCGGGCUCAACCUGGGAAUGGCAUCCGGAACUGUUUAGCUAGAGGUCGAGAGAGGUGAGUGGAAUUCCGAGUGUAGAGGUGAAAUGCGUAGAUAUGUGGAGGAACACCAGUGGCGAAGGCGGCUCUCUGGUCUGUAACUGACGCUGAGGCGCGAAAGCGUGGGGAGCAAACAGG
rnacentral:misc_RNA from 1 species